GGCAGCGGGAGCCCGGACCCCGUGCCCCGGAUCCCGGUUUCGGCCUCGCCGGAACGCGGGCAAGAGGCAUGAGGAAAGUCCCCCCACCGUCCGGGCAGGUGACCGGGUGCAAACCCGGGGCGGGAGACCGCCGGCACUGGAACAGAAACGAGACCGCGCCCCCCGACUGAUGCGGUGUGCGAAGCCCAACUGACGAAGGCGACUGUGGUCGGCCGUCGAAAGACAGUCGUGCCGCGUCGCCAAGAAAGGGACGGCGAGUUAACCCACCAAAGUUCGACGGGGACGUAGGGAUGGAACGGCGAAUCCUCACCGGUGCAAGUCCGCGCCGCAAGGUAGCCCGGACGUGGACGCGGACGCUCAGCCGAAUGCCGGGCCGAACAGAAGGGGGCUUACUCCCCGCAGCC
rnacentral:RNase_P_RNA from 1 species